rnacentral:rRNA from 1 species
UGGGUAACCUGCCUCAAAGAGGGGAAUAGCCUCCCGAAAGGGGAGAUUAAUACCGCAUAAUAUGUUUAAGUCGCAUGACUUUAACAUCAAAGGAUUUUCUUUUAGAACUUCCACUUUGAGAUGGACCCCGCGGCGCAUUAGCUAGUUGGUGAGGUAACGGCUCACCAAGGCAACGAUGCGUAGCCGACCUGAGAGGGUGAUCGGCCACAUUGGAACUGAGACACGGUCCAGCUCCGUAGGAGG